GGAGGGCACGUGCUGCAUUCCCUAACUGUGGGAAAACUGUAAACUAAAGAUUGAAAGCACCGACACCGAAACGAAAAAGAUAUCAAAACACCGAACAGAGAGCAAGCUGGAGACUUUGUACCACUUGCUUCAUCUGGUGGUCCUCCUCUUCUUUACGUUUCAGAACAGCUUGAACCUGAAACCACAUUUUUCCAUAUUGGUCUACAGCUUGCAGAUGGGCUUCCAUGUUAUUCAUCUGCUCCUGGACUCUCACCACCUCCUUCUGCAGCCGGGCCUGCUCCAGCUCUGCCUUCUGCUUCUCACCCUGAACGUCCAAC